UGCCUUUCAGUGGGGGACAACAGUUGAAACGACUGCUAAUACCGCAUAAUGUGUUUUGGGGGCAUCCCCGAGACACCAAAGCUUUAUGUGCUGAAAGAUGGCCUCGCGUCUGAUUAGAUAGUUGGUGAGGUAACGGCUCACCAAGUCUGCGAUCAGUAGCCGGUCUGAGAGGAUGAACGGCCACAUUGGGACUGAGAUACGGCCCAGACUCCUACGGGAGGCAGCAGUGGGGAAUAUUGGGCAAUGGGGGAAACCCUGACCCAGCAACGCCGCGUGAAGGAAGAAGGCCUUCGGGUUGUAAACUUCUUUUAGCAGGGACGAAGAACGUGACGGUACCUGCAGAAAAAGCAACGGCUAACUACGUG
rnacentral:rRNA from 1 species